rnacentral:rRNA from 1 species
GGGGGGGGGACGGGUGAGUAACCCGUAGGAAUCUACCGAGUAGUGGGGGAAAGCCCAGAGAAAUUUGGAUUAAAACCCCAAAAGCCCUACGGGGGAAAGGAGGGGAUCUUCGGACCUUUCCCUUUUUGAUGAGCCUGGGUAAGAUUAGCUUGUUGGUGAGGUAAAGGCUCACCAAGGGGACGAUCUUUAGCUGUUCUGAGAGGAUGAUCAGCCACACUGGGACUGAGACACGGCCCAGACUCCUACGGGAGGCAGCAGUGGGGAAUUUUGGACAAUGGGGGCAACCCUGAUCCAGCCAUGCCCCGUGUGUGAAGAAGGCCUUCGGGUUGUAAAGCACUUUCAGAAACGAGGAAAGGUUUUUGGUUAAAACCCAAAAGCUGUGACGUUAGUUUCAGAAGAAGCACCGGCUAACUCCGUGCCAGCAGCCCCGGUAAAACGGAGGGUGCAAGGGUUAAUCGGAAUUACUGGGGGUAAAGCCCGGGUAGGGGGCUAAGUCAGUCAGAUGUGAAAGCCCCGGGCUCACCUGGGAAUUGCACCUGAAACUGCUUAGCUAGAGUACAGAAGAGGUGGUGGAAUUUCCUGUGUAGGGGUGAAAUGGGUAGAUUUAGGAAGGAACAUCAGUGGGGAAGGGGGCCACCUGGACUGAAACUGACCCUGAGGUGGGAAAGGGUGGGGAGCAAACAGGAUUAGAAACCCUGGUAGUCCACCCCGUAAACGAUGUCAACUAGCCGUUGGGGUACUUGAAACUUUAGUGGCCCAGCUAACCCGAAAAGUUGACCCCCUGGGGAGUACGGUCCCAAGAUUAAAACUCAAAUGAAUUGACGGGGGCCCCCACAAGGGGUGGAGCAUGUGGUUUAAUUCGAAGCAACCCGAAGAACCUUACCUACUCUUGACAUCCAGAGAACUUUCCAGAGAUGGAUUGGUGCCUUCGGGAACUCUGAGACAGGUGCUGCAUGGCUGUCGUCAGCUCGUGUUGUGAAAUGUUGGGUUAAGUCCCGUAACGAGCCCAACCCUUGUCCUUUUUUGCCAGCACUUCGGGUGGGAACUCUAAGGAGACUGCCGGUGACAAACCGGAGGAAGGUGGGGACGACGUCAAGUCAUCAUGGCCCUUACGAGUAGGGCUACACACGUGCUACAAUGGUCGGUACAGAGGGUCCCGAACCUGGGAGGGUAAGCUAAUCUCAAAAAACCGAUCGUAGUCCGGAUUGGAGUCUGCAACUCGACUCCAUGAAGUCGGA